GUCCACGCCCUAAACGAUGUCAACUAGUUGUUGGUAGAGUAAAAUCUAUGAGUAACGCAGCUAACGCGUGAAGUUGACCGCCUGGGGAGUACGAUCGCAAGAUUAAAACUCAAAUGAAUUGACGGGGGCCCGCACAAGCGGUGGAUUAUGUGGAUUAAUUCGAUGCAACGCGAAAACCUUAACCUGGCCUUGACAUGUACCGAAUUUGGGAGAGAUUCCUUAGUGCUCGAAAGAGAACGGUAACACAGGUGCUGCAUGGCUGUCGU
rnacentral:rRNA from 1 species